GGCACUGGUGACUCGUGGGCGCUAGGCUUGGGACGGGCCCGUGCUCUGGUGCUUUGGGGAGAGAAGAAGGUAGGGAGGAUGGAGACCACAGGGAGUAGGUGUGGCUGUUUGUUCAUGCGAGAAUAGGAAUAUCUCCUCAGGGGUAAAAGAGUCUUUGUUCAAUAAUAUUGAUGGACUUUAGUCCAUUUUAAUCCAUGGAAUCAAAUAACCAAGAUCAUUUACAAGUUUCC
rnacentral:lncRNA from 1 species